rnacentral:rRNA from 1 species
AUUGAACGCUGGCGGCAGGCUUAACACAUGCAAGUCGAGCGGGGUGAUGGUGCUUGCACUAUCACUUAGCGGCGGACGGGUGAGUAAUGCUUAGGAAUCUGCCUAUUAGUGGGGGACAACAUCUCGAAAGGGAUGCUAAUACCGCAUACGUCCUACGGGAGAAAGCAGGGGAUCACUUGUGACCUUGCGCUAAUAGAUGAGCCUAAGUCGGAUUAGCUAGUUGGUGGGGUAAAGGCCUACCAAGGCGACGAUCUGUAGCGGGGCUGAGAGGAUUAACCGCCACAACUGGAAUGGGGCACGGCCCAGAAUCCUUCGGGGGGCAACAGGUGGGAAUAUUUGACAAUGGGGGGAAACCUGAUCCAGCCAUGCCGCGUGGGUGAAGAAGGCCUUAUGGUUGUAAAGCACUUUAAGCGAGGAGGAGGCUCUUUUGGUUAAUACCCAAGAUGAGUGGACGUUACUCGCAGAAUAAGCACCGUCUAACUCUGUGCCAGCCGCCGCAGUAA